rnacentral:rRNA from 1 species
UGGGGAAUAUUGCACAAUGGGCGAAAGCCUGAUGCAGCAACGCCGCGUGAGCGAUGAAGGCCUUCGGGUCGUAAAGCUCUGUCCUAUGGGAAGAUAAUGACGGUACCAUAGGAGGAAGCCCCGGCUAACUACGUGCCAGCAGCCGCGGUAAUACGUAGGGGGCAAGCGUUAUCCGGAAUUACUGGGCGUAAAGGGUGCGUAGGCGGUUUAUCAAGUAAGGGGUGAAAGGCUACGGCUCAACCGUAGUGAGCCUCUGAAACUGGUGAACUUGAGUGUAGGAGAGGAAAGUGGAAUUCCCAGUGUAGCGGUGAAAUGCGUAGAUAUUGGGAGGAGCACCAGUGGCGAAGGCGACUUUCUGGACUACAACUGACGCUGAGGCACGAAAGCGUGGGGAGCAAACAGGAUUAGAUACCCUGGUAGUCCACGCUGUAAACGAUGAGUACUAGGUGUCGGCUGUCAAAGGUCGGUGCCGGCGUUAACACAUUAAGUACUCCGCCUGGGGAGUACGCUCGCAAGAGUG